ACAAGCCCCCCACGCCGCACACCCGACAGGAAAACCUAACCCACUCUCUUUGAUGGGCCCAUGACGGAACACUUUGCAACACCCCCUUAAAAUUUCCAUUCCGUCUGGAAGCCUUGUUUGUUGAAAUGCUUGGCAUUCUCAAGGAUCCAUAUAGAGGUUUACAGUAAUUGAGUGUGGCGCUUCGGGUGCGAAACAAUUCAAAUGCGGAGGCGUGCGUGUACUG
rnacentral:lncRNA from 1 species